rnacentral:misc_RNA from 1 species
UUAAGUUCAGCGGGUAGUCCUACCUGAUUUGAGGCCAGAUUGUCAAGAAGUGACCGCCACCCAGAGGGCAAGUCGAAGUGAGGCGCGGAAGCGAGCAAGACCGAUCAAAGGCGAGGAAAAUACAACGCCAAAGGUGCUAGCCGCAUGAUACGGGCCAAACCGAUGAUUUUAAGGGGAGCCGCCUCGCGGCAGCAAAACCC